UCCGGUUUGUCACCGGCAGUCUCGCAUGAGUCCCCAACUGAAUGCUGGCAACAUGCGACGAGGGUUGCGCUCGUUGCGGGACUUAACCCAACAUUUCACAACACGAGCUGACGACAGCCAUGCACCACCUGUGUAGCACCCUCGAAGGCGACCACGUUUCCGUGCGCUUGCAGCACCAUGUCAAGUCCAGGUAAGGUUCUUCGCGUUGCAUCGAAUUAAAGAACAUGCUCCGCUGCUUGUGCGGGCCCCCGUCAAUUCUUUUGAGUUUUAGCCUUGCGGCCGUACUCCCCAGGCGGGGCGCUUAAUGCGUUAGCUACGGCACGGAACCCGUCGAUAGGGCCCCACACCUAGUGCCCAACGUUUACAGCGUGGACUAC
rnacentral:misc_RNA from 1 species